AGCAAAGCUCUGAGGUUUUGCCACAGGUUAUUCAAAACAGGAGGACUCAGCACUGUAAAAUGUGAUCACAAAUCAUGGUUCUCUGAACUCUCAGCCACAGGGGUUGCUGCUACUGUUGGGCAAGGACAAUAACAGCUUCACAUUGCAGUCAGCCCCUGGGCUGGGUUAUCCUGCUAAAUAGGAAGCAGUUGAGUAAAUAAGGCAAGAAACAUUUUAAGGAGAAUCUGAGCGGCUCAAAGUGGAGGUGAAAACCACUUGGGUGGAGCUGGGUCUUUGUGCAGUUUAAUUAUCUCCCAUCCCUCACAUCGCUCUUCAUCUUCCUCAUGUCCGCCAGAAACUGGGUUACAUGGGAACAGACGGCAGUGUCCUUUCCUUUCCUCUUCUGUCUGGAUCCCAUCGCGGAGGCAUGAGGCACCAGCAACCCACUGAAAACAUAUUUGAAAUUAAGACCAGAAUUCAGGGCUGGCUUUCUCCCCACCAGGCCAUUGCUGGCCCCCAGGACUGCGGCAUCGAUUUUUAG
rnacentral:lncRNA from 1 species